rnacentral:rRNA from 1 species
UACGAAGGGGGCUAGCGUUGUUCGGAAUCACUGGGCGUAAAGGGCGCGUAGGCGGCCUGAUAAGUCGGGGGUGAAAGCCUGUGGCUCAACCACAGAAUUGCCUUCGAUACUGUCGGGCUUGAGACCGGAAGAGGUAAGUGGAACUACGAGUGUAGAGGUGAAAUUCGUAGAUAUUCGCAAGAACACCAGUGGCGAAGGCGGCUCACUGGCCCGGUACUGACGCUGAGGC